rnacentral:rRNA from 1 species
GUUAGGAAUAUUGGACAAUGGGCGAAAGCCUGAUCCAGCCAUGCCGCGUGAACGAUGAAGGCCUUUGGGUUGUAAAGUUCUUUAGCCGAUGAUUAUAAUGACUGUAGUCGGAAAAUAAGCCCCGGCUAACUUCGUGCCAGCAGCCGCGGUAAUACGAAGGGGGCGAGCGUUAUUCGGAAUCACUGGGCGUAAAGCGUGCGUAGGCGGUUUUGUAAGUUAGGAGUGAAAGCCCAGGGCUCAACCUUGGAAUUGCUCUUAAAACUGCAAGGCUCGAAUCUCGGAGAGGAUAGCGGAAUUUCCAGUGUAGCAGUGAAAUGCGUAGAUAUUGGAAGGAACACCAGUGGCGUAAGCGGCUAUCUGGACGAGUAUUGACGCUGAGGCACGAAAGCGUGGGGAUCAAACAGGAUUAGAUACCCGGGUAGUCC